AAGAGGAAACAAGAUUCGGUAAGAAAUGAAAACUGCAACGAGAGGUUUCUGUGAAAUAUUAAGGUUGUUUUUCAGGGUAGAUGAACAACUUGAACGACCCAGACUGGAACAUAAGGCCCGACCAGGGGGCAGGUGGGGGUAACAGCAAGUGGAAUUAUGCCCUCCUGGUGCCCAUGCUGGGCCUCGCUGCAUUUCGAUGGAUAUGGUCCAAAGAGUCCGAGAAAGAGAUUAAUGAGGCCAGGACCAAGAACUAAGAUUCAGUGAA